rnacentral:rRNA from 1 species
AACGAACGCUGGCGGCAGGCUUAACACAUGCAAGUCGAACGCCCCGCAAGGGGAGUGGCAGACGGGUGAGUAACGCGUGGGAACGUACCUUUCAGUUCGGAAUAACUCAGGGAAACUUGUGCUAAUACCGGAUACGCCCGCAAGGGGAAAGAUUUAUCGCUGAAAGAUCGGCCCGCGUUGGAUUAGCUAGUUGGUGGGGUAAAGGCCUACCAAGGCGACGAUCCAUAGCUGGUCUGAGAGGAUGAUCAGCCACACUGGGACUGAGGCACGGCCCAGACUCCUACGGGAGGCAGCAGUGGGGAAUAUUGGACAAUGGGCGCAAGCCUGAUCCAGCCAUGCCGCGUGUGUGAAGAAGGCCUGCGGGUUGUAAAGCACUUUCAGUGGGAAGAACGGGCUAAGGUUAAUACCCCUGGCUUCUGACGUUACCCACAGAAGAAGCACCGGCUAACUACGUGCCAGCAGCCGCGGUAAAAGUACUCUAAU